rnacentral:rRNA from 1 species
CUCGAAUUUAAAAGAUCUAAUUUUAUAAAAUUUUAUUGUUUAAUAAAUAUUUAAAAUAUAAAAUUAGAAAUGAAAUGUUUUUCGUUUUUAAAUAUAUCUAGUUUUUUAAGAAAAAAAUUUAAUUUUAUUUUUAAUUUUAAUUUUUUUAUUUAUUUAAUUAAAUUAAUUUAAAAUUUAAUAAUUUAAGGGAUAAGCUUUAAUUUAUAUAAUUAAAAUUUUUUAAAAAUAAAAUAAAUUGUAGAAUUAGAAAUUUUUUUCAUUAAAAAUUUGUUAUAAUUUUUUAUUUUUUAUUAUAAUUUUUAUUAAAUUUAAUUAUUUUAUUAAAAUUUCUAAUUUAAUAAAAAAAUUUGAGUAAUUAUGAUUAAAUUAGUAUAAUAAAAAGUUUUAUAUAAAAAAAAAUAUUUAUAUAAAUUAAAGGAAUUCGGCAAAUGUUUUUUUCACCUGUUUAAUAAAAACAUGGUUUUUUGGUAGUUAAUUUAAAAUCGAGCCUGCCCACUGAAAAUUAAAGGGCCGCAGUAUUUUGACUGUGCAAAGGUAGCAUAAUCAUUAGUUUUUUAAAUGAAAGCUGGUAUGAAUGGUUUGAUGAAAAAAAUUCUGUCUCUAUUUUAAAUUUAAAAUUUUAUUUUUAAGUUAAAAAGCUUAAAUUUUAUUGUAAGACGAGAAGACCCUAUAGAGUUUAAUUUUUUAAAAAAAUUUAAAAUUUAGAAUUUUAAUAAUUUAUUUUUUAAAAAAUUUAAUUGGGGUGAUUAAAAAAUUUAAUAAACUUUUUUUAUAUUUAACCAAAAAUUUUUGAUAUUUUGAUCCAAUAAUAAAUUGAUUAUAAGAUUAAAUUACCUUAGGGAUAACAGCGUAAUUUUUUUGGAGAGUUCAAAUCGAUAAAAAAGAUUGCGACCUCGAUGUUGGAUUAAAAUUUAGUUUAGGUGUAGAAGCUUGAAUAUUUGGUCUGUUCGACCAUUAAAAUUUUACAUGAUCUGAGUUUAGACCGGUGUGAGCCAGGUCGGUUUCUAUCUUUAAUAAAAAUUUAUAUUUUAGUACGAAAGGACCAAAUAUA